rnacentral:rRNA from 1 species
AGUGAACGCUGGCGGUAGGCCUAACACAUGCAAGUCGAACGGCAGCACAGUAAGAGCUUGCUCUUACGGGUGGCGAGUGGCGGACGGGUGAGGAAUACAUCGGAAUCUACUUUUUCGUGGGGGAUAACGUAGGGAAACUUACGCUAAUACCGCAUACGACCUACGGGUGAAAGCAGGGGAUCUUCGGACCUUGCGCGAUUGAAUGAGCCGAUGUCGGAUUAGCUAGUUGGCGGGGUAAAGGCCCACCAAGGCGACGAUCCGUAGCUGGUCUGAGAGGAUGAUCGGCCCCCCUGGACUUGGACCCCGUCCCAGCUCCUACGGGAGGCAGCAGUGGGGAAUAUUGGACAAUGGGCGCAAGCCUGAUCCAGCCAUACCGCGUGGGUGAAGAAGGCCUUCGGGUUGUAAAGCCCUUUUGUUGGGAAAGAAAAGCAGCAGGUUAAUACCCCGCUGUUCUGACGGUACCCAAAGAAUAAGCACCGGCUAACUUCGUG